UAAGAAUUUUAUUUUAGUUGCCAGUUUAGGUUGUAAUUUUUAUGUAUAUGAGAAUAAUAUUUAAAACUGCGUUUAAUAACAUAAAGUAUUAUUUUAAUUAAAGGAAUUUAAUUGUAAAAAUUAUAAGUGUACUAGCUAACUUGAGUGCCAGCAGCUGCGGUUAGACUCAGAGUAACAAAUUUUUUAUCUACUAUGAUUUUAUAGUCAAUUGAUUAACUAAAAUGUAUUUUAUAAGUAAAAUUUUAAAAUACUUAUUAACUUCAUAUUUAUAAUAAUUAAUAAAACUUUAAACAAACUAGGAUUAGAUACCCUACUAUUAGUCUACAUUUCAGUAAAGUAGUAAAAGUAAAAUCUUCAAACUUAAGAAUUAUGGCGGUAUUUUAAACUAAUUAGAGGAACCUGCUUAGUAAUCGAUAUUCCACGAUUUAAACUACUUUAAGUAAUAUAUUUAUAUAUCGCUGUCAAAUACUAAUCGAAAGAUUCUGUAUAAUAAUAUAAUUUUUUACUUAGAUCAAGUCAACACAUAAUUUUUUAGAGGUUUUAGUGGGUUACACUUAUUUAAAAUUAUUGGAAAGUUAAGCUAAUUUUAACUUCAAACAGGAUUUAAAUUUAAAACCUUUAUAUAAAAGGCUUGAAUAAGUAAUAGAAUAUGUACAAAUUGCCCGUCACUCUUGAGCCAAUCAAGAUAAGUCGUAACAAAGUAAACUUACUGGAAAGUAAAUUUAGUUU
rnacentral:ncRNA from 1 species